GUUUUAAUAGCUUAAUUUAAAGUGGAGUUUUGAAGAAGCUCAGUUGUUGGUUUCCUUCUUGAAACA
rnacentral:tRNA from 1 species